rnacentral:rRNA from 1 species
UACGUAGGGAGCAAGCGUUGUCCGGAUUUAUUGGGCGUAAAGAGCUCGUAGGCGGCUUAGAAAGUCAGGUGUGAAAACUCUGGGCUCAACCCAGAGACGCCACUUGAUACUUCUAUGGCUUGAGUUCGGUAGGGGACCAUGGAAUUCCUGGUGUAGCGGUGAAAUGCGCAGAUAUCAGGAGGAACACCGAUGGCGAAGGCAGUGGUCUGGGCCGAUACUGACGCUGAGGAGCGAAAGCGUGGGGAGCGAACAGG